rnacentral:misc_RNA from 1 species
AAGUCGUAACAAGGUCUCCGUUGGUGAACCAGCGGAGGGAUCAUUACCGAGUUUACAGCUCCCGAACCCAAAUGUGAACAUACCAAACGUUGCUUCGGCGGAACGCCCCGGCGUCCGGACGACCACUGGGAAGUCCGCGGCCCGGGCCCAGGCGGCCGCCGAGGAAAAACCAAAACUCUUUGUAUCAUCAGUAUCUUCUGAAGAGCCGCAAGGCAAAACAAAAUGAAUCAAAACUUUCAACAACGGAUCUCUUGGUUCUG